rnacentral:rRNA from 1 species
GUGGGGAAUAUUGGACAAUGGGGGGAACCCUGAUCCAGCCAUGCCGCGUGUGUGAAGAAGGCCUUUUGGUUGUAAAGCACUUUAAGCGAGGAGGAGGCUACCGAGAUUAAUACUCUUGGAUAGUGGACGUUACUCGCAGAAUAAGCACCGGCUAACUCUGUGCCAGCAGCCGCGGUAAUACAGAGGGUGCAAGCGUUAAUCGGAUUUACUGGGCGUAAAGCGCGCGUAGGUGGCCAAUUAAGUCAAAUGUGAAAUCCCCGAGCUUAACUUGGGAAUUGCAUUCGAUACUGGUUGGCUAGAGUAUGGGAGAGGAUGGUAGAAUUCCAGGUGUAGCGGUGAAAUGCGUAGAGAUCUGGAGGAGUACCGAUGGCGAAGGCAGCCAUCUGGCCUAAUACUGACACUGAGGUGCGAAAGCAUGGGGAGCAAACAGGAUUAGAUACCCGAGUAGUCC